rnacentral:lncRNA from 11 species
CAAAAACUCUUCAGCAAAAGUUAGCAGUCAUGAGUGAUGAGAAGUCUCCUAAUGGACUGAAAAUCGAUAAAAGAACAGGAAGCAAAGGCAUAUUUGCCCCUUUUUUUUCAAAACUGGAUGUGUGAAAUUGAU